rnacentral:rRNA from 1 species
UACGGAGGAUGCGAGCGUUAUCCGGAUUUAUUGGGUUUAAAGGGCGCGUAGGCGGACUGGUAAGUCAGCUGUGAAAGCUUACGGCUCAACCGGGAAAUUGCAGUUGAUACUGUUGGACUUGAGUAUACAUGAGGUGGGCGGAAUUUGUGGUGUAGCGGUGAAAUGCUUAGAUAUCAGGAAGAACUCCAAUGGCGAAGGCAGCUCACUGGGUUAUAACUGACGCUGAGGCGCGAAGGUGUGGGUAGCAAACAGG